AUGCUCUCGGCCUGCCUUCUCCAUGUUUCUCCAGCGCUCUCCCUCGUCUACCGGGGUUUGGAACCAGAGGUGGCAAGGGAAGUGGCACGCGUUAUUUCCGGGCGCUGGCCUACGUCCCCCCCCCCCGCCCCACGCCACCCCUCCGGCGAGAGUGGACAGGGCUACAUCCGCCUGCUCAGCGGCGCCCGAGGGGGCUGCAGACACUGUACGACCCGGGCUCCCCAGCCCGGGCCGCUCUCCCAACACUGGAGUCUUUCGAGCCUCGGAGGAGCGCAGGCGCCGCUGCGCUCCCAGCCCGUCCGGCCACCAGGGGGCGCCCGCCCGGCGCGGGGCUGGAGCUGCUUUCUUCCCCAGGACUGGACGAGGGCCGGCGGAGUUGCUUUCCAAGAUGUACCCAGGGCCGGCUGUUUCCCAGUGAAUAAAAAGACAUUUAUAAUAUUGUUCCCAUUCACUCAAAAGAAGAAAAAAAAAGAAAAAGAAAAAAAGAAGAAAAAAAAAGUGAGUUCCUGCAUCAAACUGCAGUCAGGAAAGAGUCCUUGAGCAAUAACGAUACUUGCGGACGUGACUUUGAAUGUCAAGAUUAAG
rnacentral:lncRNA from 1 species